rnacentral:rRNA from 1 species
ACGGUACCCAAGGAAUAAGCCUCGGCCAACUACGUGCCAGCAGCCGCGGUAAUACGUAGGAGGCGAACGUUAUUCGGAUUUACUGGGCGUAAAGGGAGCGUAGGCGGUUCCUUAAGUCAGAUGUGAAAUCUUCUGACUCAAUCGGAAGGGGUCAUUUGAUACUGAGGGACUUGAGAGCAACAGAGGGAAAUGGAAUCCCCAGUGUAGCGGUGAAAUGCGUAGAUAUUGGGGAGAACACCAGUGGCGAAGGCGAUUUCCCAGGUUGUUUCUGACGCUGAGGCUCCAAAGCGUGGGGAGCGAAGCGGAU